AUGGCGACUUCAGUUUAUGGGCCUCAAGAGGAGGAGGACAAGAUUAGAUUUCUAGAGGAAAUCGUUGGCCUUGGUUCCAAUAUCCAACUCCCUUGGAUUGUGAAUGGGGACUUUAAUUUGGUGUGCAACGCCGAAGAACGCAGUACGCUCAGAUUCAAUAGAAGGCUUGCUAACAAGUUCAGACACACCAUCAACUCUUUGGGUUUGCAUGACAUGCCAUUGGUGGGGAGGAGAUUCACCUGGUGCAAUAAUCAAGAGAACAUAGUGAUGGCCAGGUUGGAUCGGUUUUUAUUCAAUAAUGCCUGGGAGGAUGUCUUCCCAAUUAGCGACCUGUUACCUCUGAGCUCCAGCAUCUCUGAUCACUGCCCUCUGCUGAUGAGCUGCUCUUCGGACAGACCAAGAACUCGCCGCUUCCACUUUGAA
rnacentral:rRNA from 1 species